rnacentral:rRNA from 1 species
UACGAAGGGGGCUAGCGUUGUUCGGAAUUACUGGUCGUAAAGCGCGCGCAGGCGGCUAUCCAAGUCAGUGGUGAAAGCCCGGAGCUCAACUCCGGAACUGCCAUUGAAACUGUUUAGCUUGAGGAUGAGAGAGGUGAGUGGAAUUCCCAGUGUAGAGGUGAAAUUCGUAGAUAUUGGGAAGAACACCGGUGGCGAAGGCGGCUCACUGGCUCAUUACUGACGCUCAGGCGCGAUAGCGUGGGGAUCAAACAGG